UUUGUAUAGUGUGUGUGUAUAUAAUGCAGUGUGUUUGUGUAGUGUGCAUUAUAUAAACACACUACACAAACACACUGCAUUAUAUACACACACACUGCAUUA